rnacentral:rRNA from 1 species
GUCCACGCCGUAAACGGUGGGUGCUAGGUGUGAGCGGUAUUCCACGCCGUUCGUGCCGCAGCUAACGCAUUAAGCACCCCGCCUGGGGAGUACGGCCGCAAGGCUAAAACUCAAAGGAAUUGACGGGGGCCCGCACAAGCAGCGGAGCAUGUGGCUUAAUUCGACGCAACGCGAAGAACCUUACCAAGGCUUGACAUGCAGGGAAAUCCUCCAGAGAUGGGGGUCCGCAAGGGUCCUGCACAGGUGGUGCAUGGUUGUCGU